rnacentral:rRNA from 1 species
ACUCAAAUGAAUAGACGGGGACCCGCACAAGCAGCGGAGCGUGUGGUUUAAUUCGAGGCUACGCGAAGCACCUUACCAGGGAUGGACAUGGUCGUAGUAGGGAAGCGAAAGCGGAACGACCCUUCGGGGAGCGAUCACAGGUGAUGCAUGGCUGUCGUCAGCUCGUGCCGUGAGGUGUUUGGUUAAGUCCACUAACGAGCGCAACCCUUAGCGCCAGUUACACGUGUCUGGCGCGACUGCCGGUCUUAAGCCGGAGGAAGGUGGGGAUGACGUCAAGUCCGCAUGUCCUUUAUACCCUGGGCGACACACACGCUACAAUGGCCAGCACAAUCGGUCGCCAAGCCGUGAGGCGGAGCCAAUCCGGCAAAGCUGGUCUCAGUUCGGAUUGCAGGCUGCAACCCGCCUGCAUGAAGUCGGAGUUGCUAGUAACCGCAGGACAGCCAUACUGCGGUGAAUACGUUCCCGGGUCUUGUACACACCGCCCGU